rnacentral:rRNA from 1 species
CAAUCAAACCGGGAGAUAGCUGGUUCUCCCCGAAAGCUAUUUAGGUAGCGCCUCGUGAAUUCAUCUCCGGGGGUAGAGCACUGUUUCGGCUAGGGGGCCAUCCCGGCUUACCAACCCGAUGCAAACUGCGAAUACCGGAGAAUGUUAUCACGGGAGACACACGGCGGGUGCUAACGUCCGUCGUGAAGAGGGAAACAACCCAGACCGCCAGCUAAGGUCCCAAAGUCAUGGUUAAGUGGGAAACGAUGUGGGAAGGCCCAGACAGCCAGGAUGUUGGCUUAGAAGCAGCCAUCAUUUAAAGAAAGCGUAAUAGCUCACUGGUCGAGUCGGCCUGCGCGGAAGAUGUAACGGGGCUAAACCAUGCACCGAAGCUGCGGCAGCGAACGUAUCACCCAAGACAACUUUACGGAGUUGACGAUUGACGGAGCGAAGCGACGUCAAAGCGUUCAUUAAAGUCGAGUUGGCUUAGGGAUACGUUCGUUGGGUAGGGGAGCGUUCUGUAAGCCUGUGAAGGUGUGUCGUGAGGCAUGCUGGAGGUAUCAGAAGUGCGAAUGCUGACAUAAGUAACGAUAAAGCGGGUGAAAAGCCCGCUCGCCGGAAGACCAAGGGUUCCUGUCCAACGUUAAUCGGGGCAGGGUGAGUCGACCCCUAAGGCGAGGCCGAAAGGCGUAGUCGAUGGGAAACGGGUUAAUAUUCCCGUACUUGGUGUUACUGCGAAGGGGGGACGGAGAAGGCUAUGUUGGCCGGGCGACGGUUGUCCCGGUUUAAGCGUGUAGGUGUGUGUUCCAGGUAAAUCCGGUUCACUUUAACACUGAGGCGUGACGACGAGGCACUACGGUGCUGAAGCAACAAAUGCCCUGCUUCCAGGAAAAGCCUCUAAGCAUCAGGUAACACGAAAUCGUACCCCAAACCGACACAGGUGGUCAGGUAGAGAAUACCAAGGCGCUUGAGAGAACUCGGGUGAAGGAACUAGGCAAAAUGGUGCCGUAACUUCGGGAGAAGGCACGCUGACACGUAGGUGAAGUGAUUUACUCAUGGAGCUGAAGUCAGUCGAAGAUACCAGCUGGCUGCAACUGUUUAUUAAAAACACAGCACUGUGCAAACACGAAAGUGGACGUAUACGGUGUGACGCCUGCCCGGUGCCGGAAGGUUAAUUGAU